UAUUAUGUUCUUAUUUUCUACUUGUACAGAAAGACUUCAUCAAGAGGUAGCUGGUACUGAAAACAUUUGUCUUCAAACAGUUUGCAUGGUCCAGACUGAAGAGAAGUGGGUCUGAGGCCAGAGAUGGUGGAGUCUUUGUUGACGGCAAUGGCCAACAAGUGCAGCGCUGCAGCCUGAAACCAGUUAUCUGCUGUGAAGACUGCAUUCCCAAACAGCUCCGUGACAGCACAGAUGUUACGGCCACAUAAAAGAAACGUCACAACUGAGAGCUAGUUGUGGAGGGAUUUUUUUUGGCCCAUACAUCCAACAACCUUCAACAGGAAUCAAUGGAAAGCAUGGAGGGAAGUCAGAGACUCUCGAUUGCUCUCACCGUUACCAUCAGGCAGACGUUAUCGCAGAACCUGUACCAGCAGACUGGUAGUUCCUUCCACAGGCAAUCAGACUGUACUGAACUCAUACCAGUAACACCACACACAACCCUGAAGCCUCAUAUGCACUGCACUCUAUCAGUAACACUGACUGGACUUUGACUCACCCUGACAUUCUGUUUGCAGUAAUUCACGUGCUGCACUGCAAAGGUAUAUGUAUACAGUGAUUAUUGUGUUUAUUAUUGUUUUCAUUUCAUGCUGUCUGUUUAGUAUAAUACUGCACCAUAUAUUAUUUUCUACCUGUAUUGAGCCCUUAUGUAUAAUGAAUAAUUCUAUAAGGAUGGUGUUUUGUAAAUACACCAUUUAAUUUUGUAAACAAUAGUCAAGUCAAGUCAAGUCACCUUUAUUUAUAUAGUGCUUUANNNNNNNNNNNNNACUAGUUCUUUGGGUUCAAGUUGUGGUUUUUUGAUGAGAGGCUUAAAAACAGCCAAUUUGAAGGUUUUGGGGACACAUCCUAAUAACAAUGAGGAAUUAAUAAUAGUCAGAAGAGGAUCUAUGACUUUUGGAAGCACCUCUUUUAGGAGCUUAGAUGGAAUAGGGUCUAACAUACAUGUUGUUGGUUUAGAUGUUUAUAAGUUUAUACAAUUCGUCUUCUCCUAUAGUAGAGAAUGAGUGGAACUGUUCCUCAGGGGAUCUAUAGUGCACUGUCUGAUGUGAUACUGUAGCUGACAGCUGCAUGGUUACAAUUUUAUCUCUAAUAGUAUCGAUUUUAGAAGUAAAGUAGUUCAUAAAGUCAUUACUGCUGUGAUGUUGGGAAAUGUCAACACUUGUUGAUGCUUUAUUUUUCAUUAAUUUAGCCACUGUAUUGAAUAAAUACCUGGGGUUAUGUUUGUUUUCUUCUAAA
ensembl:lncRNA